CUACGAAAGGAAUUGACGGGACCCGCACAAGCAGCGGAGCGUGUGGUUUAAUUCGUUGCUACACGAAGAACCUUACCUGGGUUUGACAUAUAGGUUGUAGGGAACUGAAAGGGACCGACCUUCGGGAGCCUAUACAGGUGUUGCAUGGCUGUCGUCAGCUCGUGUCGUGAGAUGUUCGGUUAAGUCCGCUAACGAGCGCAACCCUCGUCGUAUGUUAUAUGUGUCAUACGAGACUGCCGGUAAAAAGCCGGAGGAAGGUGAGGAUGAUGUCAAGUCAGCAUGACCUUUAUAUCCAGGGCUACACACACGCUACAAUGGUCUGUACAAUGGGUAGCCAAGCCGCGAGGCGGAGCCAAUCCUGAAAGCAGGCCUCAGUUCAGAUUGCAGUCUGCAACUCGACUGCAUGAAGCCGGAGUUGCUAGUAACCGCAGGUCAGCAAUACUGCGGUGAAUACGUUCCCGGGUCUU
rnacentral:rRNA from 1 species